GAGGGUCUAGCUCAAGUGGUAGAGCACAUGCUUAGCAUGCAUGAGGUCUUGGGUUCAAUCCUCAGUACCUCCU
rfam:Camelus ferus unplaced genomic scaffold scaffold400, whole genome shotgun sequence.